rnacentral:rRNA from 1 species
GAGAUCGGGAUAACACCUGGAAACAGAUGCUAAUACCGGAUAACAACAGAUGAUGCCUAUCAACUGUUUAAAAGAUGGUUCUGCUAUCACUCUUGGAUGGACCUGCGGUGCAUUAGCUAGUUGGUAGGGUAACGGCCUACCAAGGCGAUGAUGCAUAGCCGAGUUGAGAGACUGAUCGGCCACAUUGGGACUGAGACACGGCCCAAACUCUACGGGAGGCAGCAGAC